GUGGAUGUAGUUCAGUGGCAAGAACAUUUGUCUAGAAUAUAUAAGAUUCUGAGUUCAAUCCCCUGUACCACG
rnacentral:tRNA from 1 species